rnacentral:tRNA from 1 species
GCCUGGACAGCUCACUGGUGGAGCAUCAGACUUUUAAUCUGAGGGUCCAGGGUUCAAGCACCUGUUCAGGCG